rnacentral:rRNA from 1 species
GGUCGGAGAGAGUUGGGGAGGCAGUGCGGGACGACGGCGAUGCAGUGCGGCGGCCGCAGGUGAGGAAGACGCAGCGGUGACGAGCGUACAGGGCCUCCCUGCUCGAUUCGAUGCACGUAGGCGAAGGAGACGGCGGAGGUGAAGUUCACGGACAUCCCCCCAAGCGCCGGGGAGCAUGGUGGCCACGGGAUCGACGGAUCCAUGGUGAUGUGUGGUUCGGCCUCAAGCGGGGGAGGAGAGAUUGAGACGAGCGAGGGGAUUGGGGGAGCUAGGGUUUCGCAGAGGGGUCGAUGCCGACCUAGUAGACGCCGGGGAUGUGGCGGAUGGCCGGCACAUGGCCAUCCGCGGCCACGGACGCCGGGCGCGCGACCAGCACGCCGCUAUGAGCAGUAGGAAGGAGAAACAGGG